GUAAUGGGAUGGGACGGGAGCAGUUUCGCUCAGUUGCUCUGCCGCCUGCCGCUCGGCACCUUAUCUCCUCCGUCUCGCGCCACUCCACGGCACCAUGCACUCGCCGGCGCGCUGCCCCGCCGCCACCGCCACCGCGUCCCCGCCUCUGCGCGCGCCGUUCGUCGCCAUGGCCCAGCGCGGCCGCAGGCCGCCCUCGUCCGCGCCCCCCGAGGCCGAGCAGCCGGACGAGGCGCUCGCACGCAUCCUCCGCACGGAGGCCGCCGUCUCCGGCGUCCCCCGCAAGGCCGCGGCGGGCUCCAGCCAGCACUCCACCCGCCUCUGGCCCCGCGCCGUCCUCGAGGCCCUCGACUCCGCCGUCGCCUCCUCCCGCUGGGAGUCCGCCCUCGAGAUCUUCGAGCUGCUGCGGAAGCAGCGGUGGUACGAGCCGAGGACGCAGACCUACGCCAGGCUGCUGAUGAUGCUCGGCAGGUGCCGGCAGCCCGGCCCGGCCACCGCCCUAUUCAAGGUGAUGCUCUCGGAGGAGCGGCUCGCGCCGACGGUGGACGUGUACACGGCGCUCGUUGGCGCCUACGGCUACAGCGGCCUGCUGGACGAGGCAUUGGCCACGGUCGAUCUGAUGAAAGGCGCUGACGCAGACUGCAAGCCGGACGAGUACACCUUCUCCGUCCUCAUCAACUGCUGCUGUAAGUCGCGCCGCUUCGACCUGAUCCCCACCGUCCUCGACGAGAUGUCAUAUCUGGGGGUUGGAUGCAACGUUGUCAUCCACAAUGGGAUAAUUGAUGGGUACGGCAAGGCCGGCAUGCUAGAGGAGAUGGAGGAUGCGCUGUCCAACAUGCUUCAAGACGGGGACAAUGUGCCGGACAUAUACACGAUGAACUCCAUCAUAUGGGCCUACGGCAACCGUGGCAGGGUGGAUGACAUGGAGAGGUGGUACGGUGAGUUUCAGUUGAUGGGCGUUGAGCCAGAUACGUGGACGUUCAAUAUCAUGAUGAAGUCUUACGGCAAGGCUAACAUGCCUGACAAAAUGCUGUCCAUCCUGAAAUACAUGAAGCGGCGUUUCUUCUCACCCUCUGCUGCUACGUUCAACAUAAUCAUAGAUUGUUUUGGAAGGGCUGGCAACAUUGAGAAGAUGGAGUACUAUUUCAGGCUGAUGAAAAUUCAGGGUGUCAAACCCAACCCCAUUACAUACUGCUCGCUGGUUAAUGGAUACAGUAAAGCUGGGCUCCUUGAUAUGAUUCCUGCAAUUAUUCGACAGACGGAGAACACCGAUGUCGUCUUAGAUACUCCAUUUUUCAACUGUGUUAUCAGUGCAUACUUCAAGUCUGGAGAUACCAAAAUAAUGGAGGAAAUGCUAGUGCUAAUGAAUGAAAAGAAAUGUAAGCCAGACAAGGUAAUUUAUACCACCAUGAUUCAGGCAUAUAUUGCGCAUGGGAUGGAUGAAGCCGCUAAGUUGUUAGAAACAGAAAUGGAAAGAUUUGACAAGAAAUUACUGGGACCAGUUCCUGAGGUUGAUUACAAGUAAACUGCGGCCAUCAUUUUUUAGGGGACAGAGCAGUAAGAUUUGUGUAAUACGAGAUUGGGGAAAAAGAGCAUGUAUGAGGGGGCCUUCAGAGAAUAUGGUUAUAAAUCCAGAGCUUGGCCAUAAUGACCAUUAGUUCCAUCGACACCAGACUAAGCGUUCCCAGUUCGAUGCCAAUGACAGGCAAUAAUGAACAAUGUGGAAUGGAAAACCAGCUGUGGCCUGUUGUGUCCGAAACAGGAGUCCGACACGGCCUCAUUGUGCAAAGCCAUUUAAACAUUCAUCUGAUCUGACUGAAUGCACAAGUACAAACCCAGACAGAGCUAACUUGGGAUAUCUAGAAGUGGAAGGGACUGUGGUACAGCAGAUAAGGUCGGGUUCAGAGCUCCAGCUCAUUAUAUAUCCAUAUCAGUAUGUAAAUCUAGUCCCCUUUGGUUCUGCAUGAAAAUUCACUACCAAAAUAAGGGAUAUAGAGAACAAAUCGAAAAGAAAGAAACAACCAUUUGAAUUUCCCUA